rnacentral:rRNA from 1 species
AGUGAACGCUGGCGGCGUGCUUGACACAUGCAAGUCGAACGAGAACGGAUAUAGCUUGCUAUAAUUGUCAGCUAAGUGGCGCACGGGUGAGUAAUGUAUAGGUAAUAUGCCUCUUACUAAGGGAUAACAAAUGGAAACGUUUGCUAAUACCUUAUACUCCUUAUUAACAGAAGUUAAUAAGGGAAAGAUUUAUUGGUAAGGGAUUAGCCUGUAUUGUAUCAGUUAGUUGGUGGGGUAAUGGCCUACCAAGACUAUGACACAUAACUGGUUUGAGAGGAUGAUCAGUCACACUGGAACUGAGACACGGUCCAGACUCCUACGGGAGGCAGCAGUGGGGAAUAUUGCACAAUGGACGAAAGUCUGAUGCAGCAACGCCGCGUGGAGGAUGACACAUUUCGGUGCGUAAACUGCUUUUAUCUGGGAAGAAAAAGCCCCUGCGGGGGAAACUGACGGUACCAGAGGAAUAAGCACCGGCUAACUCCGUGC